UGUGUGUGUGUGUGUGUGUGUGUGUGUGUGUAUGUAUGUAUGUGUGUGUGUGUACCAUAGCAUGCAUAUGAAGGUCAAAGGGCAAUUUACUGGAAUCAGCUCUCUCUUUCCACCAUGUAAGUUCUGAGUUUCCUACUCAGGCAGGCUUGAUAAGAAAUGUCUUUACCUACAGAGCUGUCUCACAGACUCUCGCCUUUAACUUCAUUUCCUCACCUUCCAAGUGGAUAAUCAUAGUCACAGAUAUAUCUCUUUGUCCUCGGCAUCAAAUGGGAGAUGAACCAGAAGUCACCCUGCAAAGUCUGAUCAGAGGCACCAUCUUGGUUAUCUGUCUCAGGGUUGUUUAUGGCUUAAGGGAAAUGCUUAUGAAGUGUUAAACAGUCUUGGAGGGAGUCGCUAGACUAAAUGUGAGUAAUUCCUUAGGAGUCAGUAAUGGGGACUCUCUGAAAGCUGUACUUUGGAGAAAAAAAAAUGUUUACACCGAAAUAAGCAUGAAUCUGUAUCUCCGUUUCUGUGUCCAUCUGUCUAGAGAGAAGGGUGUAUGAAGGGAAUUUGACAAGUUUCAUCUGGAGAGGAAAACUUGCUCAAGCAUGAGGAUGCUGUUUCUCUGAAAUCUGCACUUGGCUUCUUCCCAGGGAUCUGACUUCUCCUGGGCUUUGCAGCUAAAUUCUCAGGGAUGUAUCCUCAGAAGUACUGUCUGUACCAAUUCAGCUGCUUCUAGAAUGAGCCACAUUUCAAAAGAGAGAAAAAAAAAAGAGAGAGAGAACAAACUGAAGAGUCAAGGAGAUGAAAGUGAGAACACCAGCCAUAUGCCCAAGAUAUUCUCCACCAUACCCUGGGGUUCUCCAGAGCCAGCGUAUGGAGUGUGGAGCAUCCUGGGGAAGCUUCCAUGGAGAGACUCUAAGUUGGGUAGCUCAGUUUUGAAGGAUUACAUCACAGUCUGCUUCUCAAACAUGUUAGAAAACAGAGAAAGAACAGGCCCACAUUACCCUGCUGUGUAUGAGGCAGGUGCUUUUGGUGGUGUGUUUUAAGAACAGGCUGAUAAAUUUCCCCUAUCCCAGCAUGUCCCAGACCAACUGUCAUUAUUCCUUGAGUUACUUUAUGUUAUGAAUUUAUAUAUAUAUAUAUAUCAGUUACCAAAGUCAGCUCAACUUUAUCAACCCAUUUCCAUAUUGUGCUUUACUGUCAAUAAGAGGUUGUGAUUACCUUCCAUAAAUAUUUGUUUAACUUUUAUAUUUUGUGUUCAGAAUACAAAUAUUCUUUUCUUUUUUAAAGCAAUAUCACAUGUAUUUUACAAGUCCAAUCAAUCUAACAUGGAUUCUGUAGUUUGCUUUUCUGUUGCUGUGAUAAAUGCCAUAUCCAGAAGAAACUUAGGGAAGGAAAUCAUUUAUUUCAGCUUUCACUUUAAGAUCGCAAUCCAUCAUUGAGGGAAGUCAGCACUGAGAACAUGGAGAAGGUUGCCUACUGGCUUGCUCACUGUGUCAUGCCCAGUUUGUUUUAUUAUACAGCUCAGGACCACAUGCCUAGGGAUGGUGCCACCUGGAGUGGACUGGGCCCUGCCACAUCGAUUAAUCAAGACAGUCUCUCACAGAUAUGUUCAGAAACCAGUCUAAUUCAGAUAGUUCUACCAUUAAUGUUUCCUCUUCCAAGCUGAAUUCUAGGUGGUGUCAGGUUGGCAUUAAAAACUAAGCUACACAGUAGGGAACCAAACCAGGGUUGCUUGGAAUAUUCUCAAACCUUUAGCCUAGGUUAGUCAGUAUAUUUCAACCUUCUAAGAGUAUUACAUAUUUUUUUCUCCUUGGAUCCUUUUGGUCCAUCAGCAGAAGGGCUGUCAUCACAUAACUAUUGCCUGGCCUUUUCAUAGACACAGAAUGACCCCAUUCCCCCAGGGGAAGGUACCUUGAUUAGUUUCCUUUGUGAAAAAUGUCUUUUCAGUCUUCUGGAUCAAAGAGCAUGAGGUGGAUGCAAGCUGCUAGAAUAUUGAAUUAUCGUUUUCCUUUUCAAUUAGCACCAGUUGCUGGCACCUUGUGUGACCCAAACUGAAAAAGAAUUAGCAUCAGCAUCUUUUGUUUUGUUUCAUUUUUUUUUUAAUUUCAACACGGUGGUUAUCGUCAUACGCACUGCUGUCAGGAUGCCUGGUGUGGGUUCCUAAACUCUCUCACCACUCAAAACAGCAUGAAGUUACAAGCUGGAGAGGGACUGUCUUAGCUGACUUUUCAAUCCUAGGUGUCUUCCUAGGGAAACUGGAGCUCAACCAACAUAAGCUGGUUGUGGAAAAGAUGUCUGUUAAGAGAGCACUAAAAGCAGGAAGGCGGAGCCGCGGGCCUUGAGCUUCUCCCCUCGUCCCCACAAUCCCAGGGCAGAAAAUUAUAUUUUCUUCUUACUGACAUUAACCAAAGACAGUGCUUUAUUUAUUUCUUGUUUGUUUGUUUGUUUGCUUGGGGGCAUUGAACCAAAUAAACUAGGUUGGGGUGGGGCAUCCAACUUUAUUUAAAUCCACCCAGUAGAAAUACUCUACUGCUAAAGCUAGUCGUUAGAAUACUCUGUCAAAUGGGAACUUCUCUUAAUUGAUAUAACUGUGCUUCACUGGGCCCAGUGAAAACUGAGGUUCCUAAAGGUGAUCUGGAGUUAAUGAAAAGUUCUGAAAUGUCUUGAAUCAUCAGAGAAAGAUUACAAUGUGUUCAGUGUUGCUUUAGUAUUAAAGAUUUUAUUGCAUCCCAUAUCUGGAAAACUGGUAAUACGCACCUAGUAUGUUGAUAAUAUCCUAUUCAACCGAGUGUUUGAUUUGACAGGACAUCCCAUUUCUCAAUAGAGCAGGAAGGCAAAGCCUUCUUGUUAUAGCUGGCUGGCUGUUCUGCUCUGGGCACCGUUAGGCUAUUCUUAUUUUUUAUAGCGAAACUAAUAGGUAUGAAUUGGAAACUGCCUCCUUUUUCUUGGUAAUUGGGCAUUUGCUUUAUAGAUUUAAAUAUGCCUGGCACAGUAUUCUAAGUAGGCAUGUUCCUGGCUAGAGGGCUUUGUGCUUCUAAAUUUCUGAAAGUCUACCAUUCUCUUUGGCUAAUGGGAUUAAAGAGAGCACGAGGAUGGGACCUCCUUCAUUGCUUUAUUAUCCCUGCCGUUCUCUUCAAUGCUGGUCCCAGCUGGUCAGUGCUCUUCAUACAAGUGCAAAUAUUCCACAAUGGUUUUCUCUUUAUAGUGUCUGACUCUGUAGCCCAGGCUCGCCCCAGAACUUGAUGUAUGGCCAUAUAUCUCUGGUCUCAAACUCACUACAGUAUUCCUUCUGUUUCAGUCUCUUGAGUUCUGGGAUUACAGGUAUGAGCCACUACACCGAGCUACAGUGGGAUUUUCUCAGUUCAUUUUUAUUUUAGGCCUAAUGAAGGCCACGGAGCUAAUUUGGAACUAAAAGGCUUCUGUUCUUCAUUUCCAAGGGAAAAGAAGUAAGUUUUCUAAGUAGGUGAGGGGUUUAGGGUUGGGAGAUAAUGAUUUCAGGCUUAAAAGGAGACCCAAAGGGAAGUUGACCUCAUUUUAUUGCCAGAAGAUUACACUGUGUAUUUUUAGAUGGUGAUAUUGACUUCCUGAAGAGAAAAACUAAAAAUGUGCUGAGAAAUGUUACCGUAUUAAAGGAGGCGUGAUUGACAUUCUCAAGCACGAAAAUGUAUCCAUUUAACAAAUAACAAACACUGACGAUUGUAUUCUUUUAAGUUUGAAUGUUUUCUACAAUUUGGGAGGUGGGUAUAUAGUUUAGUCAGUAUAGUGAUGCCCAUUCAGACAUGAGAGCCUAAUCUGAAGCCCUGGCACCCAUAUUAAAAAAAAAAAAAAAAAAAAAAAAAAAAAAAAAACUAGCCACACGAGAAUGCUUCUGUAAUCCUAUAACUGGAAAGCCAGAGAGACAUGGGAGCCUGGAGCUCGUAGCCAGCUGUCUAAGAGACCAUGUCUUAAACACUAAGGCAAUGAAUCAUCAAGGAAGAUACCCAUGCCCUCUGGCCUCGACGUGCUAAAGAUUUUAUGUAUAUGAGUAUACCAUUGCUCUCUUCAGACACACCAGAAGAGGGCAUCAGAUCCCAUUACAGAUGAUUUUGAGCCACCAUGUGGUUGCUGGGAAUUGAACUCAGGACCCCUGGAAGAGCAGUCAGUGCUCUUAAGCACCAAGCCAUCUCUCUAGCCUCCUGCAUUUGUUUUUAAAAAUCUCCUUUUCUUCUGUUAGUUUUUUGUUUUUUUUUAUUUUGUUUGUUUGUUUGGUUGGUUGGUUGUUUUGUUUUGUUUUGUUGCAAUGCAUGUAUAGAAGAAAACAAAAAGCCCAUGGAAGAGCUUGUGGUUCUCCCUUCCCUUUCUAGUGCGCAGGCCUCGUGGAGUCAUGUGACUGACGUUUCCAGGGAAACAAGUCAAGAUGGGGUACUGGGCACAAGUCCCAUGUGUCCUUCCCUUCUCUGUUUUUCUAGAGUCUUUAAUAAGGCUCUGAAGAGCUUUUAGAAUCACCACUUGUUACAGGAUAAAUCACGAUUUUGCCUUAAGAGGCUUUUAUGCUUGACACAGCAGAUAAAAAAGCAUAACAGGAAAUAACUUUUCAAUAGCUGGCAUGAGGAGAUGAGAGAAAAAAAUUAGGAGAAAAUCAUCUAUCAUCUCUUCCAAGUUCCCCGAAGGUCACUCACACCUUCCAUGAGUGCCGGAAUGGUUCCUGUUUCCUUCCGAGGCCAUCUGUUGUCGAUUUGCCUCCAGUCGUAUUUAAACCCGAGGUAAAAUAAACCAACUUGGUGAACCAAACAGAUGAACUUUCCCUCUUUCCCUCUUUACGAGCAAAUGCUGCGCUAAUCAGUACUGACAAGAAAGGCCAUAGACUGGGGAGAUAUCUCAGUGGGAAAGGGUUUCCUGUACAAGUCUGAACCCUGAGUUCAAUCCCAAGACCCCGCCCCCUUUUCUUAAAAAAACCUUUUAUGGGGUUGUACACUUAAUCUCAGCGCUGGGGAAGCAGAUAGACUGAUCCACGAGACUUGCUGAAUACCCCUCCUGGCCUAUUCGGUGAGUUUCAUGAAUGACCCUGCUUAAAAACAAACAAACAAACAAACAAAUAAAAAAUUUGAAAAAGACUGGAGGUUGGACGGAUAAUGUCUCAGCAAUUAAGAGCUCCGGCUACACUUUCAAGAGACCCAGGUCUCUAGAGAAUGUCUAGAGUCCUUUUCUGACACUCCCAUCCCUCGCCCUAACUGUUGUGUUAAGAGCAAAUUUGGUAAUGUCUAUAAAAAGCGUUUUUAUGUUGAUCAAAAUCUAGCAUAAAAGAAAUUGAAGCUAUUUAGCCUGAUGUUAUCAGUGGCUAACAGGGUAGAGUGACCACUUCUGGAGGGUGAUUUAAUACUUUAAACCUUUAAAAUGUCACUUAGGGCCCUGGAAAAGGUAAUUUACCAAAUGAUACUUUUGUAACUUAAAAGAAUUUAAUGGCCACCUAAAGUGAGCAAAUCAUAGCCCUUGUUGUUUUGGGGUCAGGCCCAUGGGAGGCCAUGGUCUUUCAAACAGAUGUGAUUUUAUGUCCUUUCAGAAAACAAGAAAAAAAAAAAAAAAAACUUGAGACUUCAAGAAAGCCUGGUACUUCUGAUUUGUCUGGUGUGCAUUUUUCUAACACAUCUAAAUAAAAAAUAAAAUAGUUCUUUAACUAUUUUAUCUGAAUGUGACACUCUUUUCCAUUGCUACUUUUGAAACAACACAAUCAUAAAAUCUUCUAGGCAAAAGCAAGGUAGCACUUCAGAUCACACAGUAAUAAUAGUAACCGUAUAUGUAGAAAUGGGUUCUCACCCGCUACUUCAUGGAAUCAACUGAGAUUUCAAAAUAAGCAGACACUUUUUUCCUGGUCAGUGCAAAGAAUUCAGCUGAACAUGAAAAACAAAAUAAAGCAACAACAACAACAAAACCUCUCUUACCUGGUGGUACAGGUAUGGGUUAACGAGGAAAGCUUUGAAUUUAUUAUCACUGAUAAUAAAACAUCAUAUUUAAAUAUUCUAUUAAAUCUACCCAAUACAAUUCUUGGAAUCUAGGGGG
rnacentral:lncRNA from 1 species